UGAUUGGCAUUCCGUUUCCAGUUGUGUGUUUCGUUUGACGUCUCAGCGUCUCUUUUUUAGUGUUUUGUUUCAGUGUGCGUUAGCCGAGCUACGAGUGCUCUGAUUCUUCUCUGGUUAGAGAAGAUACGUAUGCAUAGGAUGCGAUGUCCUAGAGAGCACGUUCCCCGAGUCCGCUUUCUUCCAUUUUUCAUCUGUGUUCUAU
rnacentral:lncRNA from 1 species